CUUCGAAAUAUCCUUCUUUGGCUUGCUCUCUUUCUUUUGCUUCUUCACGGGUUUACUCUUCUUCUUCCAACUAGAUUUUCUCUUGGAUGAAGAAGUUCGCUCUACAGUGAGAACGGUGCCCCUUGAACUCUUCAAGAUUUCCUCAGUAGUGAUCAAUACGUUGAUUAGUUUGAGUAUAGUGCAAUCAAGUUUGUUUAUAUAAAAAUUUAUAAUAAAUUAACAUAUAAACUUGUAAGAGAUUGAAGGAUUAAAUUCAUCUGUAAUUUUUUUUGCAUAUC
rnacentral:lncRNA from 1 species